UAGGAGUUGGAAUAGGAGCUUGC
rnacentral:piRNA from 2 species